rnacentral:rRNA from 1 species
GACGAACGCUUGCGGCGUGCUUAACACAUGCAAGUCGAACGGAAAGGCCCUGCUUUUGUGGGGUGCUCGAGUGGCGAACGGGUGAGUAACACGUGAGUAACCUGCCCUUGACUUUGGGAUAACUUCAGGAAACUGGGGCUAAUACCGGAUAGGAGCUCCUGCUGCAUGGUGGGGGUUGGAAAGUUUCGGCGGUUGGGGAUGGACUCGCGGCUUAUCAGCUUGUUGGUGGGGUAGUGGCUUACCAAGGCUUUGACGGGUAGCCGGCCUGAGAGGGUGACCGGCCACAUUGGGACUGAGAUACGGCCCAGACUCCUACGGGAGGCAGCAGUGGGGAAUAUUGCACAAUGGGCGGAAGCCUGAUGCAGCAACGCCGCGUGCGGGAUGACGGCCUUCGGGUUGUAAACCGCUUUCGCCUGUGACGAAGCGUGAGUGACGGUAAUGGGUAAAGAAGCACCGGCUAACUACGUGCCAGCAGCCGCGGUGAUACGUAGGGUGCGAGCGUUGUCCGGAUUUAUUGGGCGUAAAGGGCUCGUAGGUGGUUGAUCGCGUCGGAAGUGUAAUCUUGGGGCUUAACCCUGAGCGUGCUUUCGAUACGGGUUGACUUGAGGAAGGUAGGGGAGAAUGGAAUUCCUGGUGGAGCGGUGGAAUGCGCAGAUAUCAGGAGGAACACCAGUGGCGAAGGCGGUUCUCUGGGCCUUUCCUGACGCUGAGGAGCGAAAGCGUGGGGAGCGAACAGGCUUAGAUACCCUGGUAGUCCACGCUGUAAACGGUGGGUACUAGGUGUGGGGUCCAUUCCACGGGUUCCGUGCCGUAGCUAACGCUUUAAGUACCCCGCCUGGGGAGUACGGCCGCAAGGCUAAAACUCAAAGGAAUUGACGGGGCCCCGCACAAGCGGCGGAGCAUGCGGAUUAAUUCGAUGCAACGCGUAGAACCUUACCUGGGUUUGACAUGGAUCGGGAGUGCUCAGAGAUGGGUGUGCCUCUUUUGGGGUCGGUUCACAGGUGGUGCAUGGCUGUCGUCAGCUCGUGUCGUGAGAUGUUGGGUUAAGUCCCGCAACGAGCGCAACCCUUGUUCACUGUUGCCAGCACGUUAUGGUGGGGACUCAGUGGAGACCGCCGGGGUCAACUCGGAGGAAGGUGGGGAUGACGUCAAGUCAUCAUGCCCCUUAUGUCCAGGGCUUCACGCAUGCUACAAUGGCUGGUACAGAGGGUGGCGAGCCUGUGAUGGUGAGCGAAUCUCGGAAAGCCGGUCUCAGUUCGGAUUGGGGUCUGCAACUCGACCUCAUGAAGUCGGAGUCGCUAGUAAUCGCAGAUCAGCAACGCUGCGGUGAAUACGUCCCCGGG